rnacentral:miRNA from 1 species
GUUUUUCAAGCUUGUGACAC